rnacentral:lncRNA from 1 species
ACCUUCUUCUUGACUAAUCUGGAUUAUUUUUUUAAAUCUUUAAAAUUUUUGAAGAGAUUAAAGAUAGACUUCUGGAGGAGAUUAAAGAUAGACUUUGGAAGACGAGGCAUGUUGGUUCGUCGUUCGAUCUAGUCGAGGAGGCCCUCAACCAGGGGGGAGCGGAAAAGGUCCGACGCAGGCGGAGGGUCGUAGGAGGGAGGAGGAGGAAAAGAGUCGUGAGAGGGUGCGGCGG